AGUGAACGCUGGCGGUGGGCCUAACACAUGCAAGUCGAACGGCAGCACAGUAAGAGCUUGCUCGUACGGGUGGCGAGUGGCGGACGGGUGGGGAAUACAUCGGAAUCUACUUUUUCGUGAGGGAUAACUUAGGGAAACUUACGCUAAUACCGCAUACGACCUACGGGUGGAAGCAGGGGAUCUUCGGACCUUGCGCGCUUGAAUGAGCCGAUGUCGGAUUAGCUAGUUGGCGGGGUAAAGGCCCACCAAGGCGACGAUCCGGAGGCGGAGUGAGAGGAUGAGCAUGGACAGUGGAAUUGGGACACGGACCAGACUCCGACGGGUGCGAGCAGUGGCGAAGAGUGGUAAUGGGGCGUAAGCGUGAUCCAGACACACCGAGUGGGUGAAGAAGGCCUUCGGGUUGUAAAGCCCUUCUGCUUGGAAAGAAAAGCAGCAGGUUAAGACCCCGCUGUUCUGACGGUACUCAAAGAAUAAGCACCGGCUAACUUCGUG
rnacentral:rRNA from 1 species